AGAUUGAACGCUGGCGGCAGGCCUAACACAUGCAAGUCGAGCGGCAGCACGGGUACUUGUACCUGGUGGCGAGCGGCGGACGGGUGAGUAAUGCCUAGGAAUCUGCCUGGUAGUGGGGGAUAACGCUCGGAAACGGACGCUAAUACCGCAUACGUCCUACGGGAGAAAGCAGGGGACCUUCGGGCCUUGCGCGUAUCGAGAUGAGUCCUAGGUCGGAUUAGCUUAGGUUGGUGAGGUAAUGGCUCGACCGAAGGCGACGAUCCGUAA
rnacentral:rRNA from 1 species